GAAGACAGGGAAGAACCGGGCGGUGGGGCCUCCGGCGGUAACGAGACUCCGCGGGGCAGCAGGGGCAGAGACGAACCCGGCCGGCCAGCGGCUCCUGGCCUCAGCGGCUUCGGGGACAGACGCGCCUUGGCGGAUGCGCCCCGGGGAGCCUUGCCAGGUGAGGAAACUCCCUCGCGGAGGGGCGUGGCCCGGAAAGGGGCGGGGGCUGCAGAGUGGGAGGAGGGGGCUGCCCGGUUCCGGUCUGUGCCCCCUUCGUGAGACCACCCCCCCCCCACACCCAGGAGGGAGUGCUGUGGGGUGGCGGAACUCUGGGGUCUGUCCUGUUGGUUCAUCCGUGAAAUGGGAUUAGAAAACCUCUCCGGCAGGGUUGGUGUAGGCAUGAAACCGAGUGCGGUGUAUAUGGAGCCCUGCGAAGUGACCGGCACAUAGUAGAUAAAAAGAGCCAAAGCCCAGAGUGGAAGGGGACUGGCCUGAGGACCCAGAAGUGACAGAGCUAAGGACAAGACCCUUAUCCUGACCAGCUUAACUCCAAGCCCAAGGCCAUGGUGAGCGAGUCCCCGGGGCCCGGCGCCCGCGUGCCCUGGCGGCGGAGCGACGAGGCGCUGCGCGUGAACGUGGGCGGCGUGCGG